rnacentral:lncRNA from 1 species
GAUGCUCAGGGCUCGGGUGGGAAACUCAGGUAAAUGAAUGAGGCCUUUGGGAAGGCAGAUCUUCUCAGAGGAGACUCUGGCCAGAGCUGUCUUCUAUUUUCCCCUCCUAAGAGCCUUCUUGGAAGGGGAGGAGGGACCCAGCAAGCAGGAGCAGCGGGAAAACAGAGGGGCCGUUACCAGCCCACCGCAGCUAACAGCCAAGACACUCUAGAUUUCUGGAUAUUAUGCGUCCAUGGCUUAGCUGCAACAGAUUUAAGACACCCAGCCCCAAAAUGGGCCAGCACAGCAGGGGCCUGGGCCGGGAUGUCUUUUGGAACAGGCUUUCAGACCCAUCAAGAGAACUCUGAGCUGACCGAGUGCCCAGGGUGCUGUGUGGCACUGUAAUCCAUCCAUCCAUCCAUCCAUCCAUCUAUCCAUCCAUCCAUCCAUCCAUCCAUCCAUCCAUCCAUCCUUUCACAGUGCUAUCAUCGGGGCUGUGGAAGUCUGUGAGGUAGGAGGCAUCGUGGCGUCGUCGGGGGUCAGCAUCGUCGCAGCGCUGGCACUGUAGCCCAGCCCCUGGUGCCCCCACGUGUGGACAGAAGUCCUCCGGGGGCCGUCCGCACGUGUGGGAGGCCUCAGCGCGUCGGCCGAACGCCGCGUUCUCGAACUCAGGCAGACAGCGCUGUGCGCGUCCUGCACCGUCGUAGCAAGAGCCCAUGCCCGCGCCUGCCGCGAAGUGUGUCUCCAGAAUCACCAGCGCCAUAGAUGCCACCGUUGCCAGGAGCGACAGGACCCCGGAUACAGCCAUGGCCCUCGCCCCGCUCUGCACUGCACCGGUAUCCACUCUAUGCUGCGGUCUGUGCUUAGCCCCUCUGCGCUCCACUGGCCCCUGGAGUCCUCCUCCCCUGCAGGCGGAACCCGACGGCAUCUGAGGGCGGGACCCAUGCAGACGACACCCCACCAUCCGAGCUCUGUCCCUUCGUGCUCACCCCCACCUGCUGGACGUGCCUGGGAGUGCCUGCUUGUUCUGGCUGGGCCGUGAUCCUGGCUCCACAGUCCUCCCUGCAAAAUGGUCUCGGUAGAGAUACCAAGUUAUUCUGCUAAUGCGACUCUUCUAUGGAAGCUCUACCUGCACCUGUGUACCUUCCUGAGCUGAAAGGCAAGACAAGAGCAGGUCUUCACCUGACAGAAUGACCUUUGGCAGUUUUCC